rnacentral:rRNA from 1 species
UGCGUGGGGGAACCUGACCGCCUGCCGCGUGAGUGAUGAAGGCCUUCGGGUUGUAAAGCUCUUUUGUGUGGGAAGAUAAUGACUGUACCACAAGAAUAAGCCCCGGCUAACUUCGUGCCAGCAGCCGCGGUAAUACGAAGGGGGCUAGCGUUGUUCGGAAUUACUGGGCGUAAAGGGUGCGUAGGUGGUUAUGUAAGUCAGAAGUGAAAGCCCUGGGCUCAACCCGGGAAUUGCUUUUGAAACUAUGUAGCUAGAGUUCGAGAGAGGUAAGUGGAAUAUCCAGUGUAGAGGUAAAAUUCGUAGAUAUUGGAUGGAACACCAGUGGCAAAGGCGGCUUACUGGCUCGAUACUGACACUGAGGCACGAAA